rnacentral:lncRNA from 1 species
CGGAAGAGUUGAAUGAAGAGUUGCUCAAAAGAAUAUCGAACACUUUCAGAUCUCAUUACCAUCAUUUAUUUUCGACAUUGAAUGUGAGGCAGCAUCAGCACCGCUGAGCUACAUAGAUAAAUGCCAAGGGAUACGAAAACGUCACUAAAAGUUUCUUCCCAGAUUAAAUGCAGAACAUUCAUCAAAAUGUAAAUCUAAUACUGUUUGUUGUUUGAAGGAAGAAAACAAAAUUUUCAUCCUUCUGCGAUUGUACGGAGAUUACAAAAAUAUUAUUAUUUUAUCUACAAAUACAAUAAAAGUCAAACCAAAAUAUGCAUUACGUAUUUGAUUUUAAAUUUAAUGUUGUAAGAUUAUAAUCAAUAAUGAAUCUAUGAAAAACUGCGACAAACUUAUUCCCGGUAUGAGAAAGUGAAAAAUAUAGAUACAUACAUAGAUGAUCAGUGAUAAUUUCUCAUUUUAAAGAUACCUCCCCAAAAAUAAGUUAUUUAAGUGCAGUUGUAUACGUGCAUAUAGUAACAACAAAUUAUCAUCAUCUUAUUCUGAAAGAAAAACAAAGACAAAAACAAAACAAAAUGUGGUUUAAGCUACAAACAAACACAAACACCAACAAGUUCAUUUUCAUACAGGCAUGUAAUCAUAAGUAAAAUAAACUGCUAUAUAUAUAUAAAUAUAUGCACUUCACUUCGUUCAUACCCUCAUACCUGGCUUAACUGCAAUUUGGAUACAUUUAUUAUUCUAGUCACACCCAACAUACACUUCCUAUGAACACUUGGAAUCUCUUUUUGAAGCUUUAGUUAUGUGAUUUUUAUUUUGUAUCCUUACUUUGUCCAUUAAGAUGUUCGAUGCUUGAACCAUUAUAUGUCGGAACAUCGAAUAUUGGACAUUGAAUACAAAAGUCCAGCGAACUAUUUUCCUGUAUAAUUUAAUCGCUAGAUAUUUGAAGUAGUUUUUUGUUUCCUAAUUGAAAGUCUUCAAGUUUUUGUUUUUUAUUGAACAAUUAGGCCGUUAAGCGAUGUAUGAGAGUAUAUACACAAUUUGUAUACAUAUAAAAUCACUCGUUUAACGUUUAAACAUUAAAAAACUACAUACCCACAUAUAUACUACAUACCCAAACAUACAUACAAACAAACAUGCAUAUAUGAAUACAAAAAUAUACGUAAAAUUAUGUUGUUUGUCGACUUUAGUCUAUGUAUCCGAAAAAAAGAAAUUAUACCAAACAACUGGAAAAACAGUGAACAAAAAACAACAAAAAUAUGCUUAAGAAUUCCAAUAACAGGACACAAGGACACACAAAACACUUUGAAUACCUUAAACAAAAAAAAUGCAAGAUAAAUGAAAACAAAAUAUAAAUGAAAAGCCACUCUCAAAGAAUUAGAAUGAAUAUUAAGAUUGCCUUUGUUCAAUGGAAAAGAUUUGUAUUAGACGAUUAUAUAAUCGACUGUCUGCCAAUAAAAUUAACCAUGAAUAACAUUAAGCCGAAAUUAAACUUUAUAAGCUUAUGAAUACUUGGAAAACAAAUCGUUCGGUCUCCAAAACUAUUGUAAAUGACAAUUAAAUAAACUACCAAUAUGAUAUAACAAC